GCAAGUUUCAACGUUCAGGUGAUCUCCAAAGAUGGCUAUACUGAGCUGUGUUAUGUGUUAGGAGAUCGCUGUUACAUCCAGGAUGUUUGUGAGAAGCUGUCUAUGAGGGCCUUCCCCUGUCCGAUUCCAAUGGGGAAGUAUAGUGGCGCCACAACAACCGAACUACCAACGUUACCGUUCAUCGUCACUGGAGAGUUUCUGGUCGCCAUGCACCUGCGGUCAAAAGGUGUACCCAUUGGUAGCCUUCAGUGCUUGAUGUGCAUUAACAGCAGCAGAACUGCGUAUUGAGAUCAUCUGAAGAAGGUGGAGCCAGAUAAAAUGGAACAAGCCAAAACAGCCAUAAUUGUGAAGAUAAAAAUUCAACGACAUUAUUGUGCACCUUAUAAAACUCGUGAAUUAGGAUGAUAAUCACAGUGGUAAAAACCUCUAUGUUUGCAUUUAUAUUGAAGAGGA